rnacentral:rRNA from 1 species
UGGGGAAUAUUGGACAAUGGGCGAAAGCCUGAUCCAGCCAUGCCGCGUGUGUGAAGAAGGUCUUCGGAUUGUAAAGCACUUUAAGUUGGGAGGAAGGGCAGUAAGCGAAUACCUUGCUGUUUUGACGUUACCGACAGAAUAAGCACCGGCUAACUCUGUGCCAGCAGCCGCGGUAAUACAGAGGGUGCAAGCGUUAAUCGGAAUUACUGGGCGUAAAGCGCGCGUAGGUGGUUCGUUAAGUUGAAUGUGAAAGCCCCGGGCUCAACCUGGGAACUGCAUCCAAAACUGGCGAGCUAGAGUAGGGCAGAGGGUGGUGGAAUUUCCUGUGUAGCGGUGAAAUGCGUAGAUAUAGGAAGGAACACCAGUGGCGAAGGCGACCACCUGGGCUCAUACUGACACUGAGUUGCGAAAGCGUGGGGAGCAAACAGG